UAGGGAAUCUUCGGCAAUGGGGGGAACCCUGACCGAGCAACGCCGCGUGAGUGAAGAAGGUUUUCGGAUCGUAAAGCUCUGUUGUUAAGGAAGAACGAGUGUGAGAAUGGAAAGUUCAUGCUGUGACGGUACUUAACCAGAAAGGGACGGCUAACUACGUGCCAGCAGCCGCGGUAAUACGUAGGUCCCGAGCGUUGUCCGGAUUUAUUGGGCGUAAAGCGAGCGCAGGCGGUUAGAAAAGUCUGAAGUGAAAGGCAGUGGCUCAACCAUUGUAGGCUUUGGAAACUGUUUAACUUGAGUGCAGAAGGGGAGAGUGGAAUUCCAUGUGUAGCGGUGAAAUGCGUAGAUAUAUGGAGGAACACCGGUGGCGAAAGCGGCUCUCUGGUCGGUAACUGACGCUGAGGCUCGAAAGCGUGGGGAGCGAACAGG
rnacentral:rRNA from 1 species